rnacentral:rRNA from 1 species
GACGAACGCUGGCGGCGUGCCUAAUACAUGCAAGUAGAACGCUGAAGGAGGAGCUUGCUUCUCUGGAUGAGUUGCGAACGGGUGAGUAACGCGUAGGUAACCUGCCUGGUAGCGGGGGAUAACUAUUGGAAACGAUAGCUAAUACCGCAUAAUAGCAGUUGUUGCAUGACAACUGUUUGAAAGGUGCAAUUGCACCACUACCAGAUGGACCUGCGUUGUAUUAGCUAGUUGGUGGGGUAACGGCUCACCAAGGCGACGAUACAUAGCCGACCUGAGAGGGUGAUCGGCCACACUGGGACUGAGACACGGCCCAGACUCCUACGGGAGGUAGCAGUAGGGAAUCUUCGGCAAUGGACGGAAGUCUGACCGAGCAACGCCGCGUGAGUGAAGAAGGUUUUCGGAUCGUAAAGCUCUGUUGUAAGAGAAGAACGAGUGUGAGAGUGGAAAGUUCACACUGUGAUGGUAUCUUACCAGAAAGGGACGGCUAACUACGUG